GAAGCCGGAAUUGCUAGUAAUGGCAGGUCAGCAUACUGCCGUGAAUACGUUCCCGGGCCUUGUACACACCGCCCGUCACACCAUGAGAGUUGGGGGCGCCCGAAGCCACUUAGCUAACCCAUUUGGGAAGCGAGUGUCGAAGGUGAAAUCAAUAACUGGGGUGAAGUCGUAACAAGGUACC
rnacentral:rRNA from 1 species